rnacentral:rRNA from 1 species
GAUGAACGAUAGCUACAGGCUUAACACAUGCAAGUCGAGGGGUAACGAGAGGAAAGCUUGCUUUCCUUGUCGACGGCCGGCGCACGGGUGAGUAACGCGUAUCCAACCUGCCCCCAACUAAGGAAUAACCUUGCGAAAGUAAGACUAAUACCUUAUAAUUUCCUCAGAUGUCAUCUGACGAGGAAUAAAGAUUUAUCGGUUGUGGAUGGGGAUGCGUCUGAUUAGCUUGUUGGCGGGGUAACGGCCCACCAAGGCAACGAUCAGUAGGGGUUCUGAGAGGAAGGUACCCCACAUUGGAACUGAGACACGGUCCAAACUCCUACGGGAGGCAGCAGUGAGGAAUAUUGGUCAAUGGGCGGAAGCCUGAACCAGCCAAGUAGCGUGCAGGAUGACGGCCCUAUGGGUUGUAAACUGCUUUUGACUGGGAAGAAAAGACUCCUUGCGAGGAGAGUUGACGGUACCAGCAGAAUAAGCCACGGCUAACUACGUGCCAGCAGCCGCCGCAGUAA